GGUUCCAAAAUGCAAUCAUGGUGCUUGCUUAGAAUGAUACACAGAAUAUUAGCAUGGCCCCUGUGCAAGGAUGACAUGCAAAUUCGUGAAGUGUUCCAUAUCUUU